rnacentral:rRNA from 1 species
GAUGAACGCUGGCGGCGUGCCUAAUACAUGCAAGUCGAGCGAACAGACGAGGAGCUUGCUCCUCUGACGUUAGCGGCGGACGGGUGAGUAACACGUGGAUAACCUACCUAUAAGACUGGGAUAACUUCGGGAAACCGGAGCUAAUACCGGAUAAUAUAUUGAACCGCAUGGUUCAAUAGUGAAAGACGGUUUUGCUGUCACUUAUAGAUGGAUCCGCGCCGCAUUAGCUAGUUGGUAAGGUAACGGCUUACCAAGGCAACGAUGCGUAGCCGACCUGAGAGGGUGAUCGGCCACACUGGAACUGAGACACGGUCCAGACUCCUACGGGAGGCAGCAGUAGGGAAUCUUCCGCAAUGGGCGAAAGCCUGACGGAGCACCGCCGCGUGAGUGAUGAAGGUCUUCGGAUCGUAAAACUCUGUUAUUAGGGAAGAACAAAUGUGUAAGUAACUAUGCACGUCUUGACGGUACCUAAUCAGAAAGCCACGGCUAACUCCGUG